rnacentral:rRNA from 1 species
GACGAACGCUGGCGGCGUGCUUAACACAUGCAAGUCGAACGGAAAGGCCUGCUUUCCCUUGUGGAUUGCGGGUACUCGAGUGGCGAACGGGUGAGUAACACGUGAGUGAUCUGCCCCCAACUUGGGUAUAAGCCUGGGAAACUGGGUCUAAUUCCCGAUAGGACUGCAGGGUGGUGCCUGUGGUGGAAAACGAUUUUCUAGUGGUUGGGGAUGAGCUCGCGGCCUAUCAGCUUGUUGGUGGGGUAAUGGCCUACCAAGGCGGCGACGGGUAGCCGGCCUGGGAGGGUGGACGGCCACAUCGGGACUGAGAUACGGCCCAGACUCCUACGGGAGGCAGCAGUGGGGAAUAAUGCGCAAUGGGCGGAAGCCUGAUGCAGCGACGCCGCGUGGGGGAUGACGGGCUUCGGGUUGUAAACUCCUUUCGACCGCGAGGAAGCCACCUGGUUGGAAGGGUGGUGACGGUAGUGGUAGAAGAAGCACCGGCUAACUACGUG